CUCUCAUGGGCAGCCAGGGUGAAAGCCCCUGUCAGUCACGCUGUGGGAGACACGGAGGGCCAGCCCAGGACAAGGGCCUGCUGCACAGAUGUCGCUGAACAUUCUCUGGGGUCUCCCUUUCAACCAAUUUUAAUCCCACUGAGAUGAAGAGCAAACAUGGGAAUGACUGAGAUAGGAUGACUUUGUGACGAUCUUGAUAGAGAGGUUGGGACUGUAAAGCUGUUGAUGGUCUUGGGCCACACUGCCGUCUUUGCAUCUCCAAGGCUUUUAUUGUUCCCACUCCCAUUCGGUUUUGACAGCAAGACAUUUUCAAAUUCCAGAAAUGCUGACGGACCUCCAGCGUUUCCAUGUUUCUCCCACCCAAAGAAUGUCAAGAUAAGCUUAAUGUGAUUAUAAUGAGACUCCAAUGCCCAACAAGCAUAGUUUGGGAAAGAGAUUUCUUUCAGUACUGGGAAAUAAGCUUUAAUCUGACAGGUUAAAAAAAAGUUCCUGUGACUUAAUAAUGCAAAUAGCACUGUGCUUUCUGAGUGUGACUAUAAAAGAAUUUAAUUACCUCCUAUUGUGUCAAGCUGUGGAUUAACUUCAAUUUUCAGAAGAUCCCAGGAUGCUGGAGUCAGGGUUUGAACUCCUGAGAAAAGUAAAUGGUAACCCUUAAACUACCACUGCGUAGGAAUCCUAUUGUCCCGCUGCAUAGCAACCAGUCCCGGUAGGAGGAUAUCCUACUUCGGAUAAAAUGAAGUGUCCAGAAAGUGGGAACAGCCUUAACACCAGCUUGUGUAAAAACUAUAUGAAUAUUUAAAAUGUUUAGCAUCUGAUCAAAUAACAGACUCCCGAAGAUUAGCUCUAAACCUUAGGUAAGUAGUAGAGCGGUCAGUACAUUUCAUAAUCACUUUCAGGCAGAACUCAAUUGGGGUAGACCUUUCAAUUCAUGGAAUCAGCUGCCAGUUCCCCAUUUAGGAACUCCAUUUGGCCUGGGUGAGCUAACUAUGAAGCCCUUGUUACUCCCUGGUGUCACACAGCGCCAGCUUAUGUCUUAGGGGCAAUGCUGAUGUGAGGACAUGUGAGUAGAGCCCCACAAAUCAGGGAUGUGGUGACAAGAACUGCCCAGUGGGGCAGCUAAAAGAGAAGGGUCCAGUGGGGAUGCAUUAUGGGCAACGCAGAAGGUAGCUGUGCACAAAGACACCAGAGUCUUCACCCGGCGCCACUGCAGGGAGCCCCCUAAACCCAGAAAAGAACUUGUUCCUAAACACAAUCAGAUUUACAAGGAAAUGAAUCUUGGAGAGCAUCUCCCCAGGGCCUUUGGCCUCCACCAGCUGGGACACUCACAUUCCCAGAAGGAGGAUGCCUACCUCCUCGGUGGGAUUUCCC
rnacentral:lncRNA from 1 species